rnacentral:rRNA from 1 species
CACAAGCGGUGGAGCACGUGGUUUAAUUCGAUGCAACGCGAAGAACCUUACCUGUCUUGACAUCCCGGAGACCCUUAGGAAACUAGGGGGUGCUUCCAUCUGGAAGAAUCUGGAGCCAGGUGCUGCAUGGCUGUCGUCAGCUCGUGUCGUGAGAUGUUGGGUUAAGUCCCGCAACGAGCGCAACCCUUGCCUUUAGUUGCCAGCAGUUCGGCUGGGCACUCUAAAGGGACUGCCGGUGUUAAACCGGAGGAAGGUGGGGAUGACGUCAAGUCCUCAUGGCCUUUAUGACCAGGGCUACACACGUACUACAAUGGCCGAUACAAAGGGCAGCGACACUGCGAGGUGAAGCCAAUCCCGUAAAAUCGGUCUCAGUCCGGAUUGGAGUCUGCAACUCGACUCCAUGAAGUUGGAAUCGCUAGUAAUCGUGGAUCAGCAUGCCACGGUGAAUACGUUCCCGGGCCUU